GUUUAUUGGCUGUAUGAGCUACAACGAAAUUAAGGAGAGCAGCCUCUACAAGUCUGUGUUACUUUGUUAGGAUUAACAAGGCUGUGUGUAUUUAGGGUCUCUAUGCUUCUGACUUACAGUCAGAAAAACUGACUGUCACAAAAUGUUCAUUCUGGUUGCACAAGACCUUUCACCCAAAAACUCCCAGUUGCUUAAAAGGCAAUUACUGGGAGCAAUGGCAAGAUCUAGCCUAAGGGCUUCUGCAUUUGCCCCCUGCUAAUGAUCUGCUGGAAUUCUGUCAUCUCACAAAACAUGAGCACAGCAGCAGUAAUUCUAAUGUCUGUCGUUGCUUCCUUACUUAUAUUAACAGUUUAUUUCAUGGCUGACUUCCCGUCUUGCUAAGUUAGUUUCUCCAUGUCAGGCUGUACUAAUGAACAGAGAACAGAUUCUGACCUCUCUCUUUUCCAGGGGAAAAAAACACAAGCUCAGCUGAAGUCAAUGGAGCUGCUCUGCUUUGACCCGGGUGUAAGGAGGAUAAGCAGGAUCCUCAUCUGCCUUCAGCAAUGCAGUUCCUGUCAUAGCGCUGAAGCAAUAAGACAUGACAGGCAAUGCCCCAUGCCUCCAAACUGAGAGGCUGUAAUGACAUCCCGAGGACUUCCCUUAAGGUGGAGGAUAGGCUGGACCACCUUUAGAGAGACACUGGGGAAGGAGACUCUUAUCAAAGCUGGUGACAACUUUUAGCAUGCAUAGGUGCCAAGUGUGUUGAUCAUAUUAGAAGAGGAUAAACGCAACCUGAUGAGGACAACUGCGAUGUUCUGCGUGUUGGUGAGAAUAAUCAAUUGCAAAGAAAUGGAGUGCAGAGCCAGCAGAGCGAGCAGCAGUUGGCUGAAAAGGUAUUGGGGUUGGAGUGGACUGCAUGCUCAAGGCCAGCAGUGUCAUGCAGCUCUUCAUAACAAAAAAAAAAAGAGUAAAAAAAGGCAAACAUCAUACUGGGAUAGAUCAGUGAAAGUGUGGUCUGUAAGAUGCGAGAUCAUCCUACUAUUCCACUCAGCAUGAGUAAGGCCACAGCUGGGGUGCUAUAUUGAUCCUGGGCUAUGCACUUGAGGACAGUUGUGGUCAGCUUAAGAGGUGAAGAACAGGGAUGACUCAGAAAGAGAAGUGACAAUGAAAAGUUGAAGGAACAUCUGAAGAAAUGACUGACAGAGGCAGUGACAAAUCUGUAAAUAGCUGCUAUGAAGAUGAAAAGAGACUAAUCUUAAUGACAAUUGCAGGAAGGGUAGUAGUGGUGGGCCUAAAUAGUAGAAACAUAUAGCUUGGAAAUUAGAAGAAUUGCCAAUAGGAAUAAUGGAGGCACAAUGGAAUGAGCUGUCUGAGGUUGCCCCACUAGAUGUAUUUAAGAACAGGUUAAAACAUGUUAGUUAAACAUUGCAUGGGUUUGCCUCCAAGCAAGACUGGGAGACCUCCUAAAAGGUCACUUGUUCCUAUUUUUUUAAGCUUCUGUUCUUGGCUGUAAUUGUACUGU